GACGAACGCUGGCGGCGUGCUUAACACAUGCAAGUCGAACGGAAAGGCCCUGCUUGCAGGGUACUCGAGUGGCGAACGGGUGAGUAACACGUGGGUGAUCUGCCCUGCACUUCGGGAUAAGCCUGGGAAACUGGGUCUAAUACCGGAUAGGAGCCAUUUUUAGUGUGAUGGUUGGAAAGUUUUUUCGGUGUAGGAUGAGCUCGCGGCCUAUCAGCUUGUUGGUGGGGUAAUGGCCUACCAAGGCGGCGACGGGUAGCCGGCCUGAGAGGGUGGACGGCCACAUUGGGACUGAGAUACGGCCCAGACUCCUACGGGAGGCAGCAGUGGGGAAGAUUGCACAAUGGGCGCAAGCCUGAUGCAGCGACGCCGCGUGGGGGAUGACGGCCUUCGGGUUGUAAACUCCUUUCGCUCGGGACGAAGCUUUUUGUGACGGUACCUAGAUAAGAAGCACCGGCUAACUACGUG
rnacentral:rRNA from 1 species